rnacentral:rRNA from 1 species
GACCUAACUGCUAUCGGAUUAGGAUUAAGCCAUGCGAGUCGAACGCCCUUUAACUAUGUUAAGGACGUGGCGCACUGCUCAGUAACACGUAGCCAAUCUAACCUGGAGACGCGGAUAACCCCGGGAAACUGGGACUAAUACGUGAUAGACCAAGAUUUCUGGAAGGGGUUUUGAUCAAAAGGGGUUUAUGAACAUGUUUGUUAACUUGCUCUAGGAUGGGACUGCGGCCGAUCAGGCUGUUGGUGGGGUAAUGGCCCACAAAACCUGUAACCGGUUCGGGCUUUGGGAGAAGGAGCCCGGAGAUGGACACUGAGAUAAUGGUCCAGGCCCUACGGGGCGCAGCAGGCGCGAAACCUUCGCAAUGCGCGAAAGCGCGACGAGGCUACUCCGAGUGCCAUCCGUUGAGGAUGGCUUUUGUCAGGUGUAAGUAGCCUGGAGAAUAAGGGGGGGGCAAGCCUGGUGUCAGCCGCCGCGGUAAUACCAGCUCCCCGAGUGGUUGGGACGAUUAUUGGGCCUAAAGCAUCCGUAGCCGGCUCUGUAGGUCUCCUGUUAAAUCCAACGGCUUAACCGUUGGCAUGCGGGGGAUACCGCAAGGCUAGGAGGCGGGAGAGGCGAACGGUACUCCGAGGGUAGGGGUAAAAUCCUUUGAUCCCCGGAAGACCACCAGUGGCGAAGGCGGUUCGCCAGAACGCGCUCGACGGUGAGGGAUGAAAGCUGGGGGAGCGAACCGGAUUAGAUACCCGGGUAGUCCCAGCUGUAAACGAUGCUAGCUAGGUGGAUGGAGUGGCUAAUGGCCAUUCCGGUGCCGCAGGGAAGCCGUUAAGCUAGCCGCCUGGGGAGUACGGUCGCAAGACUGAAACUUAAAGGAAUUGGCGGGGGAGCACCACAAGGGGUGAAGCCUGCGGUUCAAUUGGAGUCAACGC